GAUGAACGCUGGCGGCGUGCUUAACACAUGCAAGUCGAACGAACAGACCCUGCUUUUGUUGCGUUCUCGAGUGCCGCACGGGUGAGUGUAACGCGUGUACCCUCCCCUUAUCUUUUUGGUAACUUCUCGGAACACGGGCUAUUACCGCAUAUAAGCUCCUGCUCCGUAUUGUUGGUUGGAGAAUUUCGGUGUUGGGGUCUCUACUCGCGGCUUAUCAGCUUCUUUAGCUAGUUGUUAAGGUCACGGCUUAUCAAGGCAACGAUGCCUAGCCGAGCUGAGAGGGUGAUCGGCCACACUGGAACUGAGACACGGUCCAGACUCCUACGGGAGGCAGCAGUAGGGAAUCUUCCGCAAUGGGCGAAAGCCUGACGGAGCAACGCCGCGUGAGUGAUGAAGGUCUUCGGAUCGUAAAACUCUGUUAUGAGGGAAGAACAUAUGUGUAAGGAACUGUGCACAUCUUGGCGGUACCUAAUCAGAAAGCCACGGCUAACUACGUG
rnacentral:rRNA from 1 species